GGGGCUGAGGUUCAGUGGCAGAGCAUCUUCUUUGCUUUGAGAAGGUCCUGGGUUCAAGCCCCAGCAUCUCCA
rnacentral:tRNA from 1 species